CGGUAGUUUAAUUUCAUAUCAUUGCGUAUUUGUCUUCUGUAAGCAGCAACACAGGAAUGCCAAAGCAACCCGUUGUGUGUUUGGGAAGGUAUGAAUAGUACUAUUCAGUCACAGACAUAUACCUUAUUAAUAUUACAGAAUAUACAGUACAAUCUCACACACAAAAACUCAUAAAUACAAUUGUCCAUGUCACUUCAUGUGAA